GCCACAUGAUGCUAAGUUGAUGAAUUGAGCACGCUGUGCCAAGAUGACUCGUAUCUAUCACCCUUGACUGAUGGCC